UACGAAGGGGGCUAGCGUUGCUCGGAAUUACUGGGCGUAAAGGGCGCGUAGGCGGCACUGUUAGUCAGGCGUGAAAGUCCUGGGCUCAACCUGGGAACUGCGCUUGAUACGGCAGAGCUAGAGGAUGGAAGAGGCUCGCGGAAUUCCCAGUGUAGAGGUGAAAUUCGUAGAUAUUGGGGAAGAACACCGGUGGCGAAGGCGGCGAGCUGGUCCAUUACUGACGCUGAGGCGCGACAGCGUGGGGGAGCGAUCCGG
rnacentral:rRNA from 1 species